CCUACGGGUGGCAGCAGUGGGGAAUAUUGCACAAUGGAGGGAACUCUGAUGCAGCGACGCCGCGUGAGUGAAGAAGUAUUUCGGUAUGUAAAGCUCUAUCAGCAGGGAAGAAAGUGACGGUACCUGACUAAGAAGCCCCGGCUAACUACGUGCCAGCAGCCGCGGUAAUACGUAGGGGGCAAGAGUUCUCCGGAUUUACUGGGGGGAAAGGGAGCGCAGACGGCUGUGCAAGUCUGGAGUGAAAGGCGGGGGGCCAACCCCCGGACUGCUUUGGAAACUGUAAAGCUGGAGUGCAGGAGGGGUAAGUGGAAUUCCUAGUGUAGCGGUGAAAUGCGUAGAUAUUAGGAGGAACACCAGUGGCGAAGGCGGCUUACUGGACUGCAACUGACGUUGAGGCUCGAAAGCGUGGGGAGCAAACAGGAUUAGAUACCCCAGUAGUC
rnacentral:rRNA from 1 species